UAUUAGGUUGGUUCAAAAGUAAUUGCGGUUUUUGCCAUUUUUUUUUUAAUUGAUUAAUUGCAAAAACCACAAUUACUUUUGCACCAACCUAAU
rnacentral:miRNA from 10 species